AUGAGAGUGCCCAAUCCGUCCAUAUCGUCGUCGCCCUAUCUCUACCGGAGACAAUGGCCACUUCAGUGUCCACAAGGAUCAUCAAUGGACAUAGAAGAUGAAAUGAAUGGGAAAAAGGCGCCCAGAGCAUUCUGUUCUGAUUUUUGUUCUCGUUUGUUCAAUUUCUUACUUCCUCUCUCUCUCUGUCUCUCGCAGGCAGCAAACAAUGUGACAUGGUUCCCUGCAAGCACAGAUCAUACGGUCAGCAUUCAUCAAAAGAAAACUGGAAAAUCAUUUCAGUUGCUUACAAUCUUUAGAUUUUUUCCCCAUGUUACAAAACAAAGUCAGGAAAGAAAAAUCAAUGUAAAACCCUCACCCAAACUUACUUGA
rnacentral:rRNA from 1 species